rnacentral:rRNA from 1 species
CCUACGGUGAGCAGCAGUGAGGAAUAUUGGUCAAUGGUCGGGAGACUGAACCAGCCAAGCCGCGUGAGGGAUGAAGGUACAGAGUAUCGUAAACCUCUUUUGUCAGGGAACAAAGGCGGGGACGCGUCCCCGGAUGAGUGUACCUGAAGAAAAAGCAUCGGCUAACUCCGUGCCAGCAGCCGCGGUAAUACGGAGGAUGCGAGCGUUAGCCGGAUGUAUUGGGUUUAAAGGGUGCGCAGGCGGCGAGUUAAGUCAGCGGUAAAAUUUCGGGGCUCAACCCCGACAAGCCGUUGAAACUGGCUUGCUAGAGUGGGCGAGAAGUAUGCGGAAGGCGUGGGGUAGCGGUGAAAUGCAUAGAUAUCACGCAGAACUCCGAUUGCGAAGGCAGCAUACCGGCGCCCAACUGACGCUCAGGCACGAAAGCGUGGGUAUCGAACAGGAUUAGAUACCCCUGUAGUC